GACGAACGCUGGCGGCGUGCUUAACACAUGCAAGUCGAACGGAAGGGCCCUGCUUUUGUGGGGUGCUCGAGUGGCGAACGGGUGAGUAACACGUGAGUAACCUGCCCUUGACUUUGGGGUAACUUCAGGAAACUGGGGCUAAUACCGGAUAGGAGCUCCUGCUGCAUGGUGGGGGUUGGAAAGUUUCGGCGGUUGGGGUUGGACUAGCGGCUUAUGAGCUUGUUGGUGGGGUAGGGGUUUACCAAGGCAUUGACGGGUAGCCGGCCCGGGAGGGUGGCCGGCGUCCAUGGGCCUGCGGGACGGCCCAGUCUCCUACGUGAGGCAGCAGGGGGGAAUAUUGCACAAUGGGCGGACGCCUGAUGCAGCAACCCCGCGUUCGGGAUGACGGCCUUCGGGUUGUGAACCGCUUUCGCCUGUGACGAAGCGUGAGUGACGGUAAUGGGUAAAGAAGCACCGGCUAACUACGUG
rnacentral:rRNA from 1 species